rnacentral:rRNA from 6 species
UGACCUCAAAUCGGGUGAGACUACCCGCUGAACUUAAGCAUAUCAAUA